rnacentral:lncRNA from 1 species
UAUAAAAAAGAAGAUGUGGUAUGAUUGCCAAUGAGACAACUGUCCACAAGAGACCAAAAUGACACAGAUAUUAACAACUAUAGGUCACCGUACGGCCUUCAACAAUGAGCAAAGCCCAUACCGCAUAGUCAGCUAUAAAAGGCCCGAUAAAAACAAUGUAAAACAAUUCAAACGAGAAAACUAACGGCCUUAUUUAUAUAAAAAAAAAUGAACGAAAAACAAAUAUGUAACACAUAAACAAACGAUAACCACUGAAUUACAGGCUCCUGACUUGGGACAGGCACAUACUUAAAUAAUGUGGCGGGGUUAAACAUGUUAGCGGGAUCCCAACCCUCACCCUAACCUGGGACA